GGAAGUAAAAGUCGUAACAAGGUCUCCGUUGGUGAACCAGCGGAGGGAUCAUUACUGAGUUACCGCUCAUCAACCCUUUGUGAACAUACCUUAACUGUUGCUUCGGCGGGUAGGCGUCCCCUAAAAAGGACGUCUCCCGGCCCUCUCCCGUCCGCGGGUGGGGCGCCCGCCGGAGGAUAACCAAACUCUGAUUUAACGACGUUUCUUCUGAGUGGCACAAGCAAAUAAUCAAAACUUUUAACAACGGAUCUCUUGGUUCUGGCAUCGAUGAAGAACGCAGCGAAAUGCGAUAAGUAAUGUGAAUUGCAGAAUUCAGUGAAUCAUCGAAUCUUUGAACGCACAUUGCGCCCGCCAGCAUUCUGGCGGGCAUGCCUGUUCGAGCGUCAUUUCAACCCUCAAGCUCUGCUUGGUGUUGGGGCUCUACGGCUUCCGUAGGCCCCGAAAUACAGUGGCGGACCCUCCCGGAGCCUCCUUUGCGUAGUAACAUACCACCUCGCACUGGGAUUCGGAGGGACUCUUGCCGUAAAACCCCCCAAUUUUCCAAAGGUUGACCUCGGAUCAGGUAGGAAUACCCGCUGAACUUAAGCAUAUCAAUAAGCGGAGGA
rnacentral:rRNA from 1 species